CACCAGGUUAUGGAUACAGAAGACCAUAAGUAGGUUAUGUUGGGAAGGGCAAGCGAGGCGAGCUCCGUGGAAUUUACUUGGAAGCAAUGCAUCCAGGAUUUUGCAGUGUCCACUGCAUGCAAGCAGGGGCGGACUUAACCAAUAGAUGGCAGACUUGACUGUGCAGAGAAGGGCCACUGCUCUUCGGGGUCUUCCCUUUUAUUUCAAAGAACAUGGAAUCAUAUGCAAGACUAUACUGAGUACAGAGCCAUUGGAGAACCACACAACUGAAAUGAAAAUGGAAAUUCUUGAAAUAGUAAGCAGCAGCAGUUGCACCUCAAGAGCCCAGUCAAGUACGCAGAAUGUCUCUGUUGUUCUGGAAGAGGAGGUGGUACUUG